rnacentral:rRNA from 1 species
GAUGAACGCUGGCGGCGUGCUUAACACAUGCAAGUCGAACGGUGAAGCUCCAGUUUGCUGGAGUGGAUCAGUGGCGAACGGGUGAGUAACACGUGAGCAACCUGCCCCUGACUCUGGGAUAACAGCCGGAAACGGCUGCUAAUACCGGAUAUGCACCAUGAACGCAUGUUCUGUGGUGGGAAAGAUUUUUCGGUUGGGGAUGGGCUCGCGGCUUAUCAGCUUGUUGGUGAGGUAAUGGCUCACCAAGGCGUCGACGGGUAGCCGGCCUGAGAGGGUGACCGGCCACACUGGGACUGAGACACGGCCCAGACUCCUACGGGAGGCAGCAGUGGGGAAUAUUGCACAAUGGGCGAAAGCCUGAUGCAGCAACGCCGCGUGAGGGAUGACGGCCUUCGGGUUGUAAACCUCUUUUAGCAGGGAAGAAGCGAGAGUGACGGUACCUGCAGAAAAAGCGCCGGCUAACUACGUG